rnacentral:sRNA from 1 species
UCAAAAAACAUGAGGCCCUGGAGGCAGAGAUACAAGGCAGGUGGAAGAGAUGUGAACAAAUUUGUGCUGUGGGACAAGAUCUAGUGAACCAAGGGCACCCUGCAAGAUCUGAGAUAGGAUCCAGGAUCAAGUCAUUAAUGGAUAAGUGGAACCAGCUGCAGGAUGCGUCUGCUGCCAGAAAGAUCAGACUGGAAGAUGCUAUUGAAGCUCUUCAGUAUUAUGCUGACGCUGAUGAAGCAGAGUCCUGGAUGAAAGAAAAGAUGCCCCUUGUCUGCAGUGAUGACUAUGGUAAAGAUGUUGCCAGUGCACAGGUGUGUUUCUAAAAAGAACA